AUGGCGGGUGUGGAGGAGGCAGCGGCCUCGGGAGCCACCUGAAUGGUGACUUGGAUGCAGAUGACAGGGAGGAGGAAGCUGCCUCUAUGGCUGAAGAAGCAGCCAAGAAAAAAAGAUGGAAGAAGAAGAAGAGUAAAGGGGCUGCUGCAGUAGGGCAACAAGAACCUGAUAAAGAAUCAGGAGCCUCAGUGGAUGAGGUAGCAAGAAAUUGGAAAAACAAGCAUUGGAAGAAAAAAAGAAAGAGAUGAUGAUGAUGAAGAUGGAGAUGGUGAUGGGGAUGGAGCAACUGGAAAGAAGAAGAAGAAAGAAGAAGAAGAAGAAGGAUCAAAAGUUCAAACAGACCCUUCCUCAGUUCCAAUAUGUGACCUGUAUCCCAAUGGUGUAUUUCCCAAAGGACAAGAGUGAGAAUAUCCACCCACACAAGAUGGGCAAACAGCUGCUUGGAGAACUACAAGUGAAGAAAAGAAAGCCUUAGAUCAGGCCAGUGAAGAGAUUUGGAAUGAUUUUCGAGAAGCUGCAGAAGCACAUCGACAAGUUAGAAAAUAUGUUAUAAGUUGGAUCCAGCCUGGGAUGACAAUGAUAGAAAUCUGUGAAAAGUUAGAAGACUGUUUACGCAAAUUGAUAAAAGAGAAUGGAUUAAAUGCAGGCCUGGCAUUUCCUACUGGGUGUUCUCUCAAUAAUUGUGCUGCCCAUUAUACUCCCAAUGCUGGUGACACAACAGUAUUACAGUAUAAUGACAUCUGUAAGAUAGAUUUUGGAACAUGCAUAAGUGGUAGGAUUAUUGACUGUGCUUUUACUGUCACUUUUAAUCCCAAAUAUGAUACAUUAUUAAAAACUGUAAAGGAUGCUAGUAAUACUGGAAUAAAGUGUGCUGGAAUUGAUGUUCGUCUAUGUGAACAUCAUAGACGUUGGGGAGGCCAUCUAAGAAGUUAUGGAAUCCUAUGAAGUUGAAAUAGAUGGGAAGACAUAACAAGUGAAACCAAUCCGUAAUCUGAAUGGACAUUCAAUUGGGCAGUAUAGAAUACAUGCUGGGAAAACAGUGCCCAUGGUGAAAGGAGAGGCAACAAGAAUGGAAGAAGGAAAAGUGUAUGCAAUUGAACCUUUUGGUAGUACAGGAAAAGGUGUUGUUCAUGAUGACAUGGAAUGUUCACAUUACGUGAAAAAUUUUGAUGUUGGACAUGUGCCGAUAAGGCUUCGGCACCCUUGCCUUCUGCCGCAGAUGGCUUGAUCGCUUAGGAGAAAGUAAAUAUUUAAUGGCUCUGAAGAAUCUGUGUGACUCGGGCAUUGUAGAUCCAUAUCCACCAUUAUGUGACAUUAAAGGAUCAUGUACAGCACAGUUUGAACAUACCAUACUGUUGCGUCCAACAUGCAAAGAAGUUGUCAGCAGAGGAGAUGACUAUUAAACUUAGUCCAAAGCCACCUCAACAUCUUUAUUUUCUAAGCUUUGUUGGAAUACAUUAUACUAGAAUUAAUUUGCAACAUGUUGUCUGUUUUAACCGUGGACCUUUGUAAUACUUUUUAUUCAUGUUAAAAAAGAAGGAAUUUGAUCAAAGGCAAACGGUCUAAUUAACCAAGGAAAAAGCUUUCAGGACUUUUCAAAUGUUAACUGUUUUACUUUCUCCUGUCUAGGAAAUGCUAUAAAGCUUAAAUUAGUUAGGAAUGACUUAAACAUUUUGUUUUGAACAUCUAAGGGAUGCUUUUUGGAUGUUUAUAUUGCCAUAUUCUUACUUGAAUGCUUUGAAUGACUACAUCCAAUUCUGCAUCUAUACUCUCUGGUAUUGCUUUUUAACCUUCCUGGAAUCCAUUUUCUAAAAAAAAUAAAGACAUUUUCAGAUCUGA